UAGGGAAUCUUCGGCAAUGGGGGGAACCCUGGCCGAGCAACGCCGCGUGAGUGAAGAAGGUUUUCGGAUCGUAAAGCUCUGUUGUUAAGGAAGAACGAGUGUGAGAAUGGAAAGUUCAUGCUGUGACGGUACUUAACCAGAAAGGGACGGCUAACUACGUGCCAGCAGCCGCGGUAAUACGUAGGUCCCGAGCGUUGUCCGGAUUUAUUGGGCGUAAAGCGAGCGCAGGCGGUUAGAAAAGUCUGAAGUGAAAGGCAGUGGCUCAACCAUUGUAGGCUUUGGAAACUGUUUAACUUGAGUGCAGAAGGGGAGAGUGGAAUUCCAUGUGUAGCGGUGAAAUGCGUAGAUAUAUGGAGGAACACCGGUGGCGAAAGCGGCUCUCUGGUCUGUAACUGACGCUGAGGCUCGAAAGCGUGGGGAGCGAACAGG
rnacentral:rRNA from 1 species